rnacentral:tRNA from 1 species
GGUAUAGCGUAGUCCGGUUAUCGCGCCACAUUUGGGAUGUGGAGGUCGCAGGUUCGAAUCCUGCUACC